rnacentral:RNase_P_RNA from 1 species
CAAGGAAGACGAUCGCGGGAUGCUUUACUGCAUCCUGAGGAAAGUCCGGACUCCAGGGAGCAAAGUGCCUGGGAAACCAGGCGAGGGUGACCUCAGGGAAAGUGCCACAGAAAAUAGACCGCUGGGUAAAACCAGUAAGGGUGAAAAGGUAGUGUAAGAGACUACCGGUAUUCCUGGUAACAGGAAUACGCAUGGUAAACCCCACUUGGAGCAAGGCCAAAUAGGACAGUUGGGAUGCUCCCCCCUAAAACUGUCGGGUUGGCCGCUUAGAUAAAUGAUCGUCAUCUCUUUUAGAGAUACAGAAUCCGGCUUAUUCCUU